ensembl:rRNA 5S_rRNA 5S ribosomal RNA
AUCCACAGCCAUAUUACCCUGCAGCCCAAGAGUGGUUGUUCACUGAAGCUAAGCAGGGCUGAGCCUGGUCAGUAGCCGUAUGGGAGACCACACGGGAAAACUAGGUUGCUGUUGGUG